CCUACGGGGGGCAGCAGUGGGGAAUAUUGGACAAUGGGGGCAACCCUGAUCCAGCCAUGCCGCGUGUGUGAAGAAGGCCCUCGGGUUGUAAAGCACUUUCUGUGAGGAAGAACGCCUGGUGGUUAAUACCCAUCAGGAAAGACAUCACUCACAGAAGAAGCACCGGCUAACUCCGUGCCAGCAGCCGCGGUAAUACGGAGGGUGCGAGCGUUAAUCGGAAUUACUGGGCGUAAAGCGCGCGUAGGUGGCUUGAUAAGCCGGUUGUGAAAGCCCCGGGCUCAACCUGGGAACGGCAUCCGGAACUGUCAAGCUAGAGUGCAGGAGAGGAAGGUAGAAUUCCCGGUGUAGCGGUGAAAUGCGUAGAGAUCGGGAGGAAUACCAGUGGCGAAGGCGGCCUUCUGGACUGACACUGACACUGAGGUGCGAAAGCGUGGGUAGCAAACAGGAUUAGAUACCCUAGUAGUC
rnacentral:rRNA from 1 species